GUAGGACCUCAGUCCUACAACUGAGGGAAUGAAUUCUGCCAACAAUCUGAAUGUGCAAGGACACAGAUUUUCCCCUAGAACUUCUGGAAGGGAACACAGAGCAGCCAGCAAUUAGAUGUUAGCCAGUGUUGGACUUCUGACCUAUGGAACCGUAAGAUGACCAACUGCCUUGUUUAAAACCACUAAAACAAGCUGCAGGAGGACAUGGCCAUCUUCUUUCUGGUCCUUGCUUGCCUCACUGAGAGGAAGGAUGGUGACCUAACUGGCAUGGAGAGGUUCACCUUGAAGACCAAGAGGCAAGUUCUGAAGGGACAAAGCCACGAUUCCUUCCCUGCUGCUCAGCCCUUGCCUUCCAGCGGCUCACACUCUCUCUGAUCCUCAGUGCUAGUGAGGAAGAUAACUACAACACUGUUUAACAACAGAGUGAAGGCACUUGACUUUUAUCGGCACCUGAUCUCACCACUGGAGUGCAUCCAUCCCUGGGAAUCCCAGGUUGCCAGGGGACUAUCUGUGCAGUUCAAGACUUUGGCACAGAGAAUAUGAAUGGAUGAAGGGAGCAAAAGCCCCAGCCUCCAGAUAUCUGCCUGGAACACUCUUCCACAUUGACACAAGUUUCCCUCCCAUUCUCCAUUUGGGUCUUUGGAUCAAAUAUUACCUCAUUAGAACUGCCUUCAGACUGGGGGCAAGAGGAACCCCCUACCUUGUCUUCUGAGCUCUCCAGUCCUCUUCCAGCCAUGCCCCUUUCCACAGAGUUAGAAGCCCAUGGGUCAAGGGGAUGUGCCCACCCAAAGCUCCUGUGCCUCACCUCUUCUUAGAUCAUACAGGGAGUACCCGAGACCCUAGAACUCCCAUUCCAAGAGUACCAGGCCAACUUCCAGAGACUACAUCAGCCUUUUCCUCAAGGUCUAUUCUCUUGAGGAACCAAGGAUGGGCUAUUUGCUAAAGGUAUGGCUGGAGCUCAGAUAUGCAGACAGGGAUGUUAUAGGUGCAGGCACAAAGUCCCAUGAAGAGUGGGACAGAGCUGGGGUGCAAAGAACGGGAGGAAGUUUGAGGGCCAGGGACCAGUUACCACCCAAGAAGCCCCAUUCCAGUGUACAUCUUAGGGGGAGUCUGAGAAUCCUAAACUUAAGUUUGGCCUUCCAGAUUUUUGUGACUGUGUACUUGUCAAGAUGAAAGGACAGGAUUUCUACCUAAGUUUAGACUGGCUUAUAAUUUUAAAUUAGGUAGAUAUACGUGUGGGGCUUCCCAGGUGCUCAGUGGUAAACAAUUCGCCUGCCAAUGUAGGAGACAUGAGUUUGAUCCCUGGGUCGGGAAGAUCACCUGGAGAAGGAAAUGGCUACCCACUCUAGUAUUCUUGCCUGGGAAAUCCCAUGGACAGAGGAGCCUGGAGGGCUGCAGUCCAUGGGGGUCGCAAAGAGUCGGAUGUGACCUAAUGACUGAGCACACACACAUGAUAUGUUUAUCUCCAUUUGCACUGUUUGCCCUGGCCCUGUAAAUAUCAGGGAUGGGUCUAUCCCUGACCUCCCUAUCUAAAAUAAAAUACCACUUCCUCUGUCAAAUAAAAUACCACUUCCUCUGUCACUUUAUUCUUACUUCAUCGUACAUUUCUUCAGAACCUUUGUCAACACAGGAUCUA
ensembl:lncRNA